rnacentral:rRNA from 1 species
UACGUAGGGGGCAAGCGUUGUCCGGAUUUAUUGGGCGUAAAGAGCGUGUAGGCGGCCUGACAGGUCUGCUGUGAAAACUCGAGGCUCAACCUCGAGAUGUCGGCGGAAACCGUCUGGCUAGAGUCCGGAAGAGGAGAGUGGAAUUCCCAGUGUAGAGGUGAAAUUCGUAGAUAUUGGGAAGAACACCGGUGGCGAAGGCGGCGACCUGGUCCGAUACUGACGCUGAGGCGCGAAAGCGUGGGGAGCAAACAGG